rnacentral:rRNA from 1 species
UCCGCAAUGGACGAAAGUCUGACGGAGCGACGCCGCGUGCUGGAUGAAGGCCCUCGGGUUGUAAACAGCUGUCGUAGGGGAGGAAAUUUUGACCGAUCCUAGGAGGAAGCACAGGCUAAGUCCGUGCCAGCAGCCGCGGUAAUACGAACUGUGCAAACGUUAUUCGGAAUCACUGGGCUUAAAGGGUGCGUAGGCGGGUUGGUAGGUCAGAUGUGAAAGCCCACGGCUCAACCGUGGAAUUGCGUUUGAAACCACUAGUCUUGAGGGGAUCAGAGGAGAGCGGAACUGAUGGUGGAGCGGUGAAAUGCGUUGAUAUUAUCAGGAACACCGGUGGCGAAAGCGGCUCUCUGGGAUCCUUCUGACGCUGAGGCACGAAAGCUAGGGGAGCGAACGGGAUUAGAUACCCCGGUAGUCCUAGCUGUAAACGAUCUGUACUAGUCCGUGGGGACCCCCACAUCUUCUCGGACGUAGCGAAAGUGUUAAGUACAGCGCCUGGGGAGUAUGGUCGCAAGGCUGAAACUCAAAGGAAUUGACGGGGGCUC